UACAGAGGGUGCGAGCGUCAAUCGGAAUUACUGGGCGUAAAGCGCGCGUAGGCGGCUUUGCAAGUCGGGUGUGAAAUCCCCAGGCUCAACCUGGGAACUGCAUUCGAGACUGCAUUGCUAGAGUAUGGGAGAGGGAAGUGGAAUUUCCGGUGUAGCGGUGAAAUGCGUAGAUAUCGGAAGGAACAUCAGUGGCGAAAGCGACUUCCUGGACCAAUACUGACGCUCAUGUGCGAAAGCGUGGGGAGCAAACAGG
rnacentral:rRNA from 1 species